rnacentral:rRNA from 1 species
GACGAACGCUGGCGGCGUGCUUAACACAUGCAAGUCGAGCGGAAAGGCCCUGCUUGCAGGGUACUCGAGUGGAGAACGGGUGAGUAACUCGCGGGUGGUCUGCCCAGCACUUCGGGAUAAACCUGGGCGAGUGGGUGUAGUACCGGAUGGGAGCCAUUUUUAGCGGGAUGGUUCGAAAGUUUUUUCGGUGUUGGAUGAGCUCGCGGCGUAUCAGCUUGUUGGUGGGGUUAUGGCCUACCAAGGCGGCGUCGCGUAGCCGGCCUGAGAGGGUGGACGGCCACAUUGGGACUGAGAUACGGCCCAGACUCCGACGGGAGGCAGCAGGGGGGAAGAUUGCACAAUGGGCGCAAGCCUGAUGCAGCGACGCCGCGUGGGGGAUGACGGCCUUCGGGUUGUAAACUACUUUCGCUAGGGACGAAGCUUUUUGUGACGGUACCUAGAUAAGAAGCACCGGCUAACUACGUG